rnacentral:rRNA from 1 species
UUGGAUCUAGGGACGCGCCUUGCCGUCCAUCCCUCGCGGAUGGGCGGCGUAAGCGUCGCGCGUGCGUCGGGUCAAACCGGCGGGCGCGCGGCGUUGCGGGCUCGGUCCGCUGGAGGACCAGCGUGUCAACCGGCCCGCCCGUCCCCUCCCUUCUUGGUUCCCGUUCCUGCUAUUGAGUUAGUGGGGACGUACCGUGGCGGCGCCGUUCGCGCGGCGUCGUCGCGGAGGCGGUCGGUCGCCCGGGGUCAAACCCGGUCGCGGUCGGUCGUCUGGGGCCCAGAUCGUUUACCGUGAAAAAAUUAGAGUGUUCAAAGCAGGCAGACCAUUUCUUCUGCCACCGAAUACAUUAGCAUGGGAUAAUGGAAUAGGACCCUGUCCUCCUAUUUUGCGUGUUGGUUUUCGAGGACCGGGUAAUGAUUAAUAGGGAUAGUUGGGGGCAUUAAUAUUUAAUUGUCAGAGGUGAAAUUCUUGGAUUUAUGAAAGAUUGACUUCUGCGAAAGCAUCUGCCAAGGAUGUUUUCAUUAAUCAAGAACGAAAGUUAGGGGAUCGAAGACGAUCAGAUACCGUCGUAGUCUUAACCAUAAACGAUGCCGACCAGCGAUUAGGAGACGUUGAAUACAAAACACCACCGUCGGGUCGGCCGUCCUUGGCCGUCGUGCGCGGCGACGCGCGCGGCGGCGAGGGCGGUGUCUGCCCGACGGCCCGGUGAAUGACUCCCCUAGCAGCUUGUGAGAAAUCAUAAGUCUUUGGGUUCCGGGGGGAGUAUGGUCGCAAGGCUGAAAC